UACGGGGGGGGCAAGCGUUGUUCGGAAUUACUGGGCGUAAAAGGCUCGUAGGUGGCCAACUAAGUCGGACGUGAAAUCCCUCAGCUUAACUGGGGAACUGCGUCCGAUACUGGAUGGCUCGAGUUUGGGAGAGGGAUGCGGAAUUCCAGGUGUAGCGGUGAAAUGCGUAGAUAUCAGGAGGAACACCGGUGGCGAAGGCGGGUCUCUGGGCCGAUGACUGACGCUGAGGAGCGAAAGCGUGGGGAGCGAACAGG
rnacentral:rRNA from 1 species